UGUAAUCUCCACCAGCAGCUACACCACAUGGGAGACGGAAAAACGUCAGAUCACUGCCGUGUCAGCGGAUGGCUUCGUCCUGACCCUGAACCAGCCUUUGACCCACACUCAUAUUGGUGGGACUAACUCUGUGUCAAGUACGACUUUCUCCUACACUCUGGCAGCUGAUGUUGGUCUCCUGACCAGAAACAUCAAGAUCAUCGGUCAGGAUUAUCCAACUAUGAUGCAAGACUCGUUUGGAGCAAGGCUGCUCGUCGGCACCUACUCCUGGCAGGGAAUCAACUAUAAAGGCAAAGCUCAGAUCAGGAACGUGGAGUUCUACCACUCUGGCCAGGAAGGCUGGACUGACUACAGCGACCCACGCUACUCUGUGGCCUUCCUCAAUCUGGGAGAGGUGACAGAAAAAGAGUCAUACAUUCAGGGCUGCGCUUUCCACGACGGCUUCUCUC